GGUAGCGUGGCCGAGUGAUGUAAGGCGCUGGUUUUAGGCACCAGUCAUUUCGAUGACGUGGGUUCGAAUCCCACCGCUGCCA
rnacentral:tRNA from 1 species